rnacentral:lncRNA from 1 species
UGCAGAUAUAUAUGUGUGUGUGUAGUGAGCUUCUUUCAGUUUCCAUCUAUUGAAUCUACUCACAAGGCCCGAGACAAUAGGGGAAAACACCUGCCUGAGGGGCCACGGAGUGGGAUUGAACCCAGAACCCUGCAGUUUGUACAUGACUCUGCUGUCUCCUGUCCCAGGGUCUCACGAGCCCACACCCUCAGGGUUGGCACUCUCAAUGUCGGCACACUGAAAGAUGGCUACGGCAACAAGAAGUAUAACUGCUCUACUGCUGAUCGUCAGCCUCUUCUGUUUUGUUGCUGGCUGGAAAAGAACAUGCACUUGUCCCUCCACAGUGGUCCAGCCUGCCAACAAACAGAACCCAGUUUCCAGUGAUGUCCCCAUUGUGAGGAAUGUUCUAGACCAGCUGUCAUUGUGUCCAUGGAAGAUGGAAAUGGAUUUUGACCAACAUAGAAUGCCAGCCAGUUUGAUCUAUGCCAAAUUGCAAACAUCAGCCUACUGCAACAACAUGGAACGACAAUGCAUGGCUGUUACAGAAACAGUCAAUGUCACUGUACGAUGCUCAGACAGCAGAUGUGUGACAUGCACCGAAGACAUCCCCAUCGCAUUUGUAUGUGCCAUGCGGCAUGUAGUUGUAAUUAACUAAGGAAGUUUCUACCAGAGGGUCAUGGUUAUCUACUGCCAAUGUUGUCAUUUCCAUUUAUGGUAGUUCUACCCAAGACAGCAGACAUGUUUCUCUUCCAAGAAUGCAAGCCACGAUAAGAACUAUUUAUCAAUUAAUUUAUUAAUUACUAUUUUCAAAUGAUAUAUAUUUACAAAAAGGAAAAGGUUUUUAGUGAUUUGUAAUGAACUCCUAUAAAGACUUCAAAUAACUUUGAAAGAUUUAUUCUAAACAGUUGUCACUAGGUAUUUGUUUGCUUUCUCUCAGCUAAGAAUGGAGAGUUUAAUUAAAUAUUUAUUGCAUACAUUAGUUAGUAUGCAGCUCAUUAAUUCCACUAUUUAUAUCUUUCAUUUACACACAAAACACCACACAUACAUGCAUGCACACACACACCUAUGAAACCACUCAAA